rnacentral:rRNA from 1 species
GAUGAACGCUGGCGGCAUGCCUAACACAUGCAAGUCGAUCGGUAAGGCUCUUCGGAGUCCCCGAGAGGCGGACGGCUGAGUAACGCGUAGGAACACACCCUGCAGUGAGGGAUAAGACACCGAAAGGUGUUCUAAUACCGCAUACGGUCUUCGGAUUAAAGCAUUUAUGCGCUGAAGGAGUGGCCUGCGUCAUAUUAGAUAGUUGGUGAGGUAAUGGCUCACCAAGUCGAUGAUGUGUAGCUGGUCUGAGAGGAUGAUCAGCCAGACUGGAACUGAGACACGGUCCAGACUCCUACGGGAGGCAGCAGUAAGGAAUAUUUCACAAUGAGCGAAAGCAUGAUGGAGCAAUGCCGCGUGCAGGAUGAAGGCCCUCGGGUUGUAAACUGCUUUUAUAAGAGAAGAUUAUGACGGUAACUUAUGAAUAAGGGACGGCUAACUACGUG